UACGGAGGGGGCUAGCGUUGUUCGGAAUUACUGGGCGUAAAGCGCGCGUAGGCGGACCUGCAAGUCGGGUGUGAAAGCCCUCAGCUCAACUGAGGAAGUGCGCCCGAAACUGCAGAGCUUGAGUGCCGGAGAGGGUGGCGGAAUUCCCCAAGUAGAGGUGAAAUUCGUAGAUAUGGGGAGGAACACCAGUGGCGAAGGCGGCACUCUGGGCCGGUACUGACGCUGAGGGACGAAAGCUAGGGGAGCGAAUGGG
rnacentral:rRNA from 1 species